rnacentral:lncRNA from 1 species
AGAGGAGCUCGGAUGUUGCAAAUCCUAUUGGGUGCCUUGGGCGUUAAGGAGCAGGUGAGGACCACUUGCCGUAGGAGCUCGGUCAGGGGCUUUCCGCAGAUGCAGUCUGGUUUCGUGCAGACUUCGACAGAGGGUCGACCGACGGUGGAUGUCGGAUGGCGCUGGAGAGGUUCAUCCGUCGGAGGGGUCCUGCUACUGGAUUCCGUGAGCACGGCAUUUGCCUGCUUAUAGAAGUUCG